GCAGAUUGUGGUGGGGCCGAGAGCUGAGCUGAGAACUGAAGGAGUCGUAAGACCUGGCAUGGGAGGAGGGAAGAGGGAGCAUGUGAAGAAGGAACAUCACACAAAGGAUUCAGAAGCAGGAGAGAGUUUGGAGAAGUUGAAGGCGUUCACAAUCCAUCACCUUAAGUGCAAGCACAUCGCUAAGAACUCCGCAAGGAUUAAGAACCAAUAAAAAGGAGGCAACGACUUACUAGAAGAGAUUUACUAGUGGUGGGGGAUUCAAGGAAUCCACUCUCUACUCUGAAAGAAACACGCUCCUUCCAGUCUCUUCUCUGUGGACUGAAAUCCACAGAUGUCCCAGCCAGCCCUCUGCAGUGCAGAUAUAUCCCCCAAAAGACUGGAACCCCGGCGGUAAGGACGCUCAAGCAGUCGCCAUCGGAGAUGCUUUGAAUAAUCAACUUUCUACUAAU